UAUAUAUUAAUAAAAUAAUUUAAUUUAUAUAAAUAAAAUUUAAUAUAAUUUUUUAUUAAUCUAAGACUUGAAUUUAAUGUUUGAAGGAUUGUUAAAUAGGGAGAAACAUGACAUAGAAAAAAUUAUUUAUAUGGACAAUCUCAAAUGCUAAGAAAUUUUUUCUUAGUUUCUACUUUAUAAUAUAUAUAUUAGAUUAGACCAUUUUUGGCGCACGUUAUAAAUAAAUCGGGCUUCUCAAUGACAAAUAAAUUAUCAAAAUAUUAGAUCAUUCUUGCCGAUUUUAUUUUUUAAAAAUCCAUUUCUUUUAUAUACUUUAUAAGCAAUUCUAUUAAUCAACAUAACUAGGGAUCUAAUUGUAAGCUUGAUUUAGCACCUAAUUUGGAACAUGACGUUAUUAUAUAUCC
rnacentral:lncRNA from 1 species